rnacentral:rRNA from 1 species
AACGAACGCUGGCGGCGUGGAUAAGACAUGCAAGUCGAGCGGGAUCGUUCUUGUAGCAAUACAAGGGCGGUUCAGCGGCGCAAGGGUGCGUAACACGUGGGCAAUCUGCCGAAAAGUGGGGGAUAGCUCGCCGAAAGGCGAAUUAAUACCGCAUGUGACCAGGGAAGACAUCUUCCUGACGUCAAAGCCGGGAUCAAACCUGGCGCUUUUUGAGGAGCCCGCGGCCUAUCAGCUAGUUGGCGAGGUAAUGGCUCACCAAGGCUUUGACGGGUAGCUGGUCUAAGAGGACGACCAGCCACACUGGAACUGAGACACGGUCCAGACACUACGGGUGCAGCAGUCGAGAAUUUUUCUCAAUGGGGGAAACCCUGAAGGAGCGACGCCGCGUGGAGG